CAGCCGCCGCGGUAAUACCGGCGGCCCGAGUGGCGGUCACUAUUAUUGGGCUUAAAGCGUCCGUAGCCGGGUUGGGAAGUCCUCCGGGAAAUCUGGCCGCUUAACGGUCAGAAUGCCGGAGGAUACUCCCAGCCUAGGGAGCGGGAGAGGCCGAGGGGGUUCCCGGAGUAGGGGUGAAAUCCUAUAAUCCCGGGAGGACCACCUGUGGCGAAGGCGCUCGGCUGGAACGCGUCCGACGGUGAGGGACGAAGGCCAGGGGAGCAAACCGGAUUAGAUACCCGGGUAGUCCUGGCUGUAAACGAUGCGGACUUUGUGUCGGACAAGCUAUGAGCUUGUCCGGUGCCGGAGGGAAACCGUUAAGUCCGCCGCCUGGGGAGUACGGCCGCAAGGCUGAAACUUAAAGGAAUUGGCGGG
rnacentral:rRNA from 1 species